AUUCUAAACUACAGUAUGCAUUCAUAGGUUUUGCCAGACUAUCUGCCCAUUUCUACAGUAUCAUUACAGUAAGUUAGUCAAAUAAAGUUAGCAUGCAUAUUCUACUUAGGAAUAUCUGAAAAAAACUGGAUAUUCAGGAUAACAAUUUGACAUGACAAAAACAUAUUUUUAAUCUUAUAAUGACCAUUGGUGUUCAGAUAUGGGCGAAGUCUGUAUUGUGGAAACAUGGCUAGUGCUACAGUUAUAUAUUGUUCAUAUCAAUGGCCCAAAAUGCUAGUAUGUGACCACAGUAGAACCAAUUUCCAGUUUUAUUCCCAUUUAGCAGACAGGUGGAAAAUAUGCAUUGUUAUUGAUAAGGAUUUGAGUUUAGUUGGUAAGAUGCCUAUUAAUGUUUUGUAUAGACCACACAAUGGGUCAUUCUAGAAAAGAUUCACACUCCCACCAAGGAGGAAAUUUCUCCUGUCCAGAGGGAGAGGGGGGAAAAUUGUUUCUGAUAAUAGUAAGUGUAUUAGGACAUCUAAAGGGGAUAGAGAUAUGGGGCCUGAGGUACAGUAUGGAUGUUUUCUGGAAUGACCUAAUAAAUAGGGCACAAUUAAAUUUAUUAUUUUUCAUCUGGUAAAGAAAUGGUUUGUUUGCUUACUUUGAUAGACAGUAGCAUCCUAGUAAUUGUUCCUUUGAUUGUUUUGCUAGACGUGACUUCUAAUUAUACGGUGCAUUUGUUAUGUUGUACAUUCUGAACAUUUACACUGCAUUUUACAAUAACUACAACAAACAUGAGGGUUGUCUUUCAUGACAUCAUGAACGUCAAGACAGCCCAACAAAAACAUCCUAAGGCAGCUGUCCUCAAGUUUGCAGUAUUC